CGGGCGACGUGCCGGUCUAAGUCCCUUGGAACGGGGCGUCAGAGAGGGUGAGAAUCCCGUAUGUGACCGGUGGCCGAGCCUAUGUGAAACCCCUUCGACGAGUCGAGUUGUUUGGGAAUGCAGCUCAAAAUGGGUGGUAAAUUUCAUCUAAAGCUAAAUACCGGCCAGAGACCGAUAGCGCACAAGUAGAGUGAUCGAAAGAUGAAAAGCACUUUGGAAAGAGAGUCAAACAGUACGUGAAAUUGUUGAAAGGGAAGCGCUUGCAACCAGACCUGCCCGCGGGUGAUCAGCCGUCCUUCGGGGCGGUGCACUCGCCCGCGAUCAGGCCAGCAUCGGUUCGGGCGGUCGGAUAAAGGCCCUGGGAACGUGGCUCCCUUCGGGGAGUGUUAUAGCCCUCGGUGCAAUGCGGCCUGCCCGGACCGAGGACCGCGCUUCGGCUAGGAUGCUGGCGUAAUGGUUGUAAGCGGCCCGUCUUGAAACACGGACCAAGGAGUCGACCAACUAUGCGAGUGUUUGGGCGUCAAACCCACACGCGCAAUGAAAGUGAACGGAGGUGGGAACCCCUCGCGGGGCGCACCAUCGACCGAUCCAGAUGUCUUCGGAUGGAUUUGAGUACGAGCAUAGCUGGUCGGACCCGAAAGAUGGUGAACUAUGCCUGAAUAGGGUGAAGCCAGAGGAAACUCUGGUGGAGGCUCGCAGCGGUUCUGACGUGCAAAUCGAUCGUCAAAUUUGGGCAUAGGGGC
rnacentral:rRNA from 1 species